CCUACGGGAGGCAGCAGUGGGGAAUCUUGCGCAAUGGGCGAAAGCCUGACGCAGCCAUGCCGCGUGAAUGAUGAAGGUCUUAGGAUUGUAAAAUUCUUUCACCGAGGACGAUAAUGACGGUACUCGGAGAAGAAGCCCCGGCUAACUUCGUGCCAGCAGCCGCGGUAAUACGAAGGGGGCUAGCGUUGCUCGGAAUUACUGGGCGUAAAGGGAGCGUAGGCGGAUAGUUUAGUCAGAGGUGAAAGCCCAGGGCUCAACCUUGGAAUUGCCUUUGAUACUGGCUAUCUUGAGUACGGAAGAGGUAUGUGGAACUCCGAGUGUAGAGGUGAAAUUCGUAGAUAUUCGGAAGAACACCAGUGGCGAAGGCGACAUACUGGUCCGUUACUGACGCUGAGGCUCGAAAGCGUGGGGAGCAAACAGGAUUAGAUACCCUGGUAGUCCACGCUGUAAACGAUGAGUGNUAGUGUCGCAUGCAUGCAUGUCGGUGGACGCAGCUAACGACAUUAAGACACCUCCGCCGUCGGGGUAGGUACGGUCGCGAAGAAUUAAAACUAACAAAUAGUAAGUUAGUACGGCGUGAGACGUGACCGACGGACGACGACGAGGGAGGAGG
rnacentral:rRNA from 1 species